rnacentral:rRNA from 1 species
CAAUGCAAUAUAGGUUAAAAAUUGGAAGUGUAUUAUAAACUGUAAAGGAGAGUCAUAAUAAUAUGAGUUGUUACUUUUGGUAUCAAGGUAAGUUGAAUUACUUUUAGAAUUAAAGAUUCUCGAAAUAGUUCGAUCUAUAAGUUUAUGGGAUUUUUUGUGGAAAUAUAUAAAUAUUUAAUAUUUUUAUAGUGAGGAUAUCUUAGUCAAGAAUUAAUAUCUAGUUAAUGGUGUAUUUAGGUAAUCUAAUAAAUGUUAUAUAAAUAUAUAAUAUGGAAAUAAUUAAAGGUUUAAGUUUUUGAUUGAAUAAAAAGUAAUAUAUUGUUAUUUUAAGUAAGUAAUUUUUAUUUAAAAAUAGUUUUUAUUUUAUUUGAAUGUUCUGUUAAAUAUGAAUAGAUUUUUAUAUGAAAAUAUAACUUUAUUAGUAUUAUAAAAGAUAAUUAUAAAGUAGAUUAUUGUUUUAAGAGGGUUUAAUUAUAUAAUGAAUUUGGCAAAGUUUAUGUUUGACUGUUUAACAAAAACAUUUCUUCUUAAGGUUGGUAGAGGUAGUUUCUGCUCAGUGCAGAAAUGUAAAUAGCUGCGGUAUUUAACUGUACAAAGGUAGCGUGAUAAUUUUUUUUUUAAUUGAAAGGUAGGAUGAAUGAAAAAACAAAAUAUAUUCUUUAUAAAUAUAAUAGGUUAGAAUUUUUCAUAAAAGUAAAAAGACUUUUAUUUUUUAAAGGGACGAAAAGACCCUGAAAAUUUUGAGUGGAAUAUUUGAUAUAAAUGUAUUCUAUUUUUAAUUGGGGUGAUUGAUUAUAAAAAUAUUUUUUAAUUGAAACACUAUUUAUGGAGUUGAUUUUCUUUUAUUAAAACAUAAAGUGAAAUUACUUCAGGGAUAACAGCAUUAUUAAUUUAGAUAGUUCAUAUUGAAAAAUUAGAUUGUGACCUCGAUGUUGAAUUAAAUUAUACUUCUGAGCAGAAGAAGAAGAGUGUUGGUUUGUUCAACCAUUAAUUGUUUACAUGAUUUGAGUUCAGACCGGCGUGAGCCAGGUUGGAUUUUAUCUUUUAAUAGUUAUUAAAUUUUGAUUGUACGAAAGGAUCUUAAAAUUUUUUAAAAAAAUUUUCUUAGUAAA